rnacentral:lncRNA from 1 species
UAAAAACAUGGAAAAUUGCCUAAAUUCCUCUUUUUCCAUCAUCCCCAAAAUUCUUCCCUUGGGCUACCGAUCCGCUGCCUCCUUCCAUCAAUAACAACCACCACCCGCCACCUAUGCCAUUGGAUCCACACACCAUCGGCACCCCUUCACCUCCUUCUAAAACCUCCGACCAUCGCCUUCCCACCAGACCGUCACCUUUAGCCCCUUCCUUAUCUUUAGAAUCCCUUUUAAAGUUUUCUAAAGUUUUAAAGUAAAGUAAGCUCAAGCUGAAUCUUCUCAAAGAAUAAACGGUCCUCCAAAGUCUCUAAAGGCUUCGGUGUUUUCUACAUAUACGGUGGCGGUUUUACAGCUCCAGCGGUAGCUCGUAAACUCGCUCCUCUCCUAAAGCUAUUGCUAUUAAAUUUGGUCAACUAACGAUUACGGCUUCUUCGAAAGUGUUCAACAACCACCACCCGCCACCUAUGCCAUUGGAUCCACACACCAUCGGCACCCCUUCACCUCCUUCUAAAACCUCCGACCAUCGCCUUCCCACCAGACCGUUGAAAACAACACCAAUUCCCAUCGAAAACCGCGAGCACAGUCAAGAUUUUUUCCCAGUUACUUCCACAUCCGACCACCCUCUCGAUCAUGGAGCACCACAACAACAUUCCUCUCAAUCAAGCACAUCUAGUUCUACCAUGGGUCACCCUCAAUUUUAUCUAGAAUCGGUUGAGCUUGUUGGAGCAGUCUGUGAGAUUUGUGAAAAAUUUUGGUCCAACAAAUUUGAUGAAAUUUCACUAUUGCAAACGAUUAAUUUUGUUGUCGAGGUGUGUUUUUUGAAGCAUUUUGUUUUUCUAAACUUUGGGAUUUUAUAUUAUUAAGAGAUGGUAAUAUAUGGCUUCCAAUUUUUUUGAGGUUCUGUGGUUGAAAUUAUUGUGUCAUGGCUCAUAUUUUGUUCUGUUCAAGAAUGUACAAAGAAUCCAAUUACGUUCUAAGACAAUUGGUGAGUUUGAAUAAAAGUUAUAAUGACAGUAAGAUUAAUGUAUUUCCUUGUGAUAUAUUUGAUGGAUUGUGGUUGACCAGAAAUGUUUGUGUUCCAAUUUGUGGAGAUUUUGAUGCUUUAUUUAGUGUGUUGAGUUGGUGAAGAAG